rnacentral:miRNA from 1 species
GCGCUCAGGCUGGUGCUGGGGGAU